rnacentral:rRNA from 1 species
UACGUAGGGUGCGAGCGUUGUCCGGAAUUAUUGGGCGUAAAGGGCUCGUAGGCGGUUUGUCACGUCGGGUGUGAAAACUCAGGGCUUAACCCUGAGCCUGCUUCCGAUACGGGCAGACUAGAGGUAUGCAGGGGAGAACGGAAUUCCUGGUGUAGCGGUGAAAUGCGUAGAUAUCGGAAGGAACACCAGUGGCGAAAGCGGCUUCCUGGUCCAGCACCGACGUUCAGGCACGAAAGCGUGGGGAGCAAACAGG